rnacentral:rRNA from 1 species
AGAGUUUGAUCCUGGCUCAGGAUGAACGCUGGCGGCGUGCCUAAUACAUGCAAGUCGAGCGAACGGACGAGAAGCUUGCUUCUCUGAUGUUAGCGGCGGACGGGUGAGUAACACGUGGAUAACCUACCUAUAAGACUGGGAUAACUUCGGGAAACCGGAGCUAAUACCGGAUAAUAUUUUGAACCGCAUGGUUCAAAAGUGAAAGACGGUCUUGCUGUCACUUAUAGAUGGAUCCGCGCUGCAUUAGCUAGUUGGUAAGGCAACGGCUUACCAAGGCAACGAUGCAUAGCCGACCUGAGAGGGUGAUCGGCCACACUGGAACUGAGACACGGUCCAGACUCCUACGGGAGGCAGCAGUAGGGAAUCUUCCGCAAUGGGCGAAAGCCUGACGGAGCAACGCCGCGUGAGUGAUGAAGGUCUUCGGAUCGUAAAACUCUGUUAUUAGGGAAGAACAUAUGUGUAAGUAACUGUGCACAUCUUGACGGUACCUAAUCAGAAAGCCACGGCUAACUACGUGCCAGCAGCCGCGGUAAUACGUAGGUGGCAAGCGUUAUCCGGAAUUAUUGGGCGUAAAGCGCGCGUAGGCGGUUUUUUAAGUCUGAUGUGAAAGCCCACGGCUCAACCGUGGAGGGUCAUUGGAAACUGGAAAACUUGAGUGCAGAAGAGGAAAGUGGAAUUCCAUGUGUAGCGGUGAAAUGCGCAGAGAUAUGGAGGAACACCAGUGGCGAAGGCGACUUUCUGGUCUGUAACUGACGCUGAUGUGCGAAAGCGUGGGGAUCAAACAGGAUUAGAUACCCUGGUAGUCCACGCCGUAAACGAUGAGUGCUAAGUGUUAGGGGGUUUCCGCCCCUUAGUGCUGCAGCUAACGCAUUAAGCACUCCGCCUGGGGAGUACGACCGCAAGGUUGAAACUCAAAGGAAUUGACGGGGACCCGCACAAGCGGUGGAGCAUGUGGUUUAAUUCGAAGCAACGCGAAGAACCUUACCAAAUCUUGACAUCCUUUGACAACUCUAGAGAUAGAGCCUUCCCCUUCGGGGGACAAAGUGACAGGUGGUGCAUGGUUGUCGUCAGCUCGUGUCGUGAGAUGUUGGGUUAAGUCCCGCAACGAGCGCAACCCUUAAGCUUAGUUGCCAUCAUUAAGUUGGGCACUCUAAGUUGACUGCCGGUGACAAACCGGAGGAAGGUGGGGAUGACGUCAAAUCAUCAUGCCCCUUAUGAUUUGGGCUACACACGUGCUACAAUGGACAAUACAAAGGGCAGCGAAACCGCGAGGUCAAGCAAAUCCCAUAAAGUUGUUCUCAGUUCGGAUUGUAGUCUGCAACUCGACUACAUGAAGCUGGAAUCGCUAGUAAUCGUAGAUCAGCAUGCUACGGUGAAUACGUUCCCGGGUCUUGUACACACCGCCCGUCACACCACGAGAGUUUGUAACACCCGAAGCCGGUGGAGUAACCUUUUAGGAGCUAGCCGUCGAAGGUGGGACAAAUGAUUGGGGUGAAGUCGUAACAAGGUAGCCGUAUCGGAAGGUGCGGCUG